GGUUAGUUUUACCUCAGCAAGUUGGCAGUUACAAUGCUACGUUGGGGUGUUCACCUAGACACAUUGGGCUGUAAGGCAACAAAAGGAGAACAUUUUAAAAGUGAGAGGUGAUUUUCUAUACCCACUGUAUACACAGUCAAUUGCAAAUUCUAUCCUCAACAGCUUUGACCAUACUGUAGAACCAUGAACCACAGCAGGCACCAGGAACCAUACUAGACUGGCCUUGUGACUUCACAGACGUUGAUGGAGAAGACACCCGAAAGGCCAUCUGCGACACUGUCAUGGGGAUUUACAUCAUAAGAAGUGAAAGUACAGACACCAGGUCAGACCCAGAGGAUGUUGGUAGUGAUUGAUGGCAUGGAAUUGCUUCACGACUUGGGCAAUGUUGUUUUGCUUGUACCAAGAUUCUCUGUGUCUGGGCAACCCAAAAGACCAUAAGUACACUUUCGAAGUACAUCAGGUCUUCAUGGAGUUGGAUGGUUACAUGCUGUCUGAUAAAGUGCAAGCACUGAAAACCAAACACUACUGAGACACUUUGUUUGCGGAGUCCUUAACUUUUUCUAAGAACUGACAUUUUCAGUUAUUCAUUAUCAGCCCAUAGAGUAAUGCCUUAACCUUGUUUUUGA